rnacentral:rRNA from 1 species
UUACGGCCAUAUCACGUUGAAACACCGCUUCUCGUGUGAUCACCGAAUUUAAGCAACUUCGAGCCUGGUUAGUACUUAGAUGGGUGACCGCUUGGGAAUAUC